rnacentral:rRNA from 1 species
CAGGAUGUGAANUCCCCGGGCUCAACCUGGGAACUGCGUUNUGAACUGGGUGACUAGAGUGUGUCAGAGGGAGGUAGAAUNCCACGUGUAGCAGUGAAAUGCGUAGAGAUGUGGAGGAAUACCGAUGGCGAAGGCAGCCUCCUGGGAUAACACUGACGUUCAUGCCCGAAAGCGUGGGUAGCAAACAGGAUUAGAUACCCUGGUAGUNCACGCCCUAAACGAUGUCGAUUAGCUGUUGGGCAGCAUGACUGCUUAGUAGCGAAGCUAACGCGUGAAAUCGACCGCCUGGGGAGUACGGUCGCAAGAUUAAAACUCAAAGGAAUUGACGGGGACCCGCACAAGCGGUGGAUGAUGUGGAUUAAUUCGAUGCAACGCGAAGAACCUUACCUGGUCUUGACAUGUACGGAACCCUCCAGAGACGGAGGGGUGCCUUCGGGAGCCGUAACACAGGUGCUGCAUGGCUGUCGUCAGCUCGUGUCGUGAGAUGUUGGGUUAAGUCCCGCAACGAGCGCAACCCUUGUCAUUAGUUGCCAUCAUUAAGUUGGGCACUCUAAUGAGACUGCCGGUGACAAGCCGGAGGAAGGUGGGGAUGACGUCAAGUCCUCAUGGCCCUUAUGACCAGGGCUUCACACGUCAUACAAUGGUCGGUACAGAGGGUAGCCAAGCCGCGAGGUGGAGCCAAUCUCACAAAACCGAUCGUAGUCCGGAUUGCACUCUGCAACUCGAGUGCAUGAAGUCGGAAUCGCUAGUAAUCGCAGGUCAGCAUACUGCGGUGAAUACGUUCCCGGGUCUUGUACACACCGCCCGUCACACCAUGGGAGUGGGGGAUACCAGAAGUAGGUAGGGUAACCGCAAGGAGCCCGCUUACCACGGUAUGCUUCAU